GCCGUUGAAUUUAUGUAUAAAAGACCUAACUUAACCUAACCUAAUCGCAAUCUCCUUCUCUUCUCUUCUGCGGCCUCUCCCUCUUCUGAGUCUUCUCUCCUUCUCAGACAGACUCAUCUCCAUCCAAGUCUCCAACUCCAUUCUUUUUUCUUCUCUCAGUCUCAGAUUCUCUUUGUGGAUCAUCGGCAUCACCAGAAGCAAACCAAUAACGGAAGAUUGAAGAACAGAACCCAGCUAUCUUCUUUUACCCAGUUGGUAAAUAAAUCAUUCUUUACCUCUCAAACUGCAUCCACAUUACAGUCAUUGCCAGAAUCUUCUCCUACUUACAGGGUUUGUCAAGAUUGAAGAACUGAAGUUCAGUUCAUUGGAGCUUGAAGAAGAACUGGUCAGAGACUCAGAGUUGGUUUAAGAAGAACUAAGAAGGGUUUGUCAAGAUUGAAGAACUGAAGUUCAGUUCAUUAGAGUUUGAAAAGAACUAAUCAGAGUUGGUUUAGGAAAACUAAGAAGGUGUCGGUGGGGUAGUGACUUAUGUAACAAAUUCAACUAAUCAGAGUUGGUUUAGGAAAACUAAGAAGGUAUAUCCA